rnacentral:sRNA from 1 species
GAGCCGAGCUGGGCGGAAGAAGGCGAGGCGGGAGCCAGGCCCGGCCCAGACCGCCGCGGCGCCGACCGUGACAAACACUCAUCGUUGGGUGGGGCUCUAGUGCAGUCCGUUGGUGCCAAUAUUUUAUAAGCGACGUUUUCAAACUAUGUGAAGAUCCUUU